UACAGAGGUCCCAAGCGUUGUUCGGAUUCACUGGGCGUAAAGGGUGCGUAGGUGGCGGGGUAAGUUUGAUGUGAAAUCUCCGGGCUUAACCCGGAAACUGCAUUGAAUACUAUUCUGCUCGAGGAUUGGAAGGGAGACUGGAAUACUUGGUGUAGCAGUGAAAUGCGUAGAUAUCAAGUGGAACACCAGUGGCGAAGGCGAGUCUCUGGACAAUUCCUGACACUGAGGCACGAAAGCUAGGGGAGCAAACAGG
rnacentral:rRNA from 1 species